rnacentral:rRNA from 1 species
CUAGCAUAUCAAUAAGCGGAGGAAAAGAAACCAACAGGGAUUGCCUCAGUAACGGCGAGUGAAGCGGCAACAGCUCAAAUUUUAAAGCUGGCGUCCUCGACGUCCGCGUUGUAAUUUGGAGAGGCACCUUCGGUUUGGGCGCCGGCUUAUGUUCCUUGGAACAGGACGUCACAGAGGGUGAGAAUCCCGUGCCGUCGGCUGUCCCAUUCCACGUGAAGUGUCUUCGACGAGUCGAGUUGUUUGGGAAUGCAGCUCAAAAUGGGUGGUAAAUUUCAUCUAAAGCUAAAUAUUGGUGGGAGACCGAUAGCGCACAAGUAGAGUGAUCGAAAGAUGAAAAGCACUUUGAAAAUAGAGUUAAAAAGUACGUGAAAUUGUUGAAAGGGAAGCGCUUGAGACCAGACUCGGCUUCGGACGAUCAGCCUCCCUUCUGGGCGGUGCACUCGUCUUUGGUCGGGCCAGCAUCGGUUGAGACGGCGGGACAAGGGCUUCGGGAAUGUGGCUCCUCUCGGGGAGUGUUAUAGCCCGUGGUGCAAUGCCGCCCGCCUCGACCGAGGACCGCGCUUCGGCUAGGAUGCUGGCGUAAUGGUCUUCAGCGACCCGUCUUGAAACACGGACCAAGGAGUCUAACAUCUAUGCGAGUGUUUGGGUGUCAAACCCUUGCGCGGAAUGAAAGUGAACGGGGGUGGGAACCCGCAAGGGCGCACCAUCGACCGGUCCUGAUGUCUUCGGAUGGAUCUGAGUAGGAGCAUAGCUGUUGGGACCCGAAAGAUGGUGAACUAUGCCUGAAUAGGGUGAAGCCAGAGGAAACUCUGGUGGAGGCUCGCAGCGGUUCUGACGUGCAAAUCGAUCGUCGAAUUUGGGUAUAGGGGCGAAAGACUAAUCGAACCAUCUAGUAGCUGGUUCCUGCCG